rnacentral:rRNA from 1 species
UACGUAGGGCGCAAGCGUUGUCCGGAAUUAUUGGGCGUAAAGAGCUCGUAGGCGGCUUGUCAGGUGGGGUGGGAAAUCUCGGAGCUUAACUCCGAAACUGCAUUCGAUACUGCCGUGCUUGAGGACUGGAGAGGAGACUGGAAUUUACGGUGUAGCGGUGAAAUGCGUAGAUAUCGUAAGGAAGACCAGUGGCGAAGGCGGGUCUCUGGACAGUUCCUGACGCUGAGGCACGAAGGCCAGGGGAGCAAACGGG